CACGUAGGGGGCAAGCGUUGUCCGGAUUUAUUGGGCGUAAAGAGCUCGUAGGCGGUUCGAUAAGUCGGGUGUGAAACCUCCAGGCUCAACCUGGAGACGCCACCCGAUACUGUUGUGACUAGAGUCCAGUAGGGGAGCGUGGAAUUCCUGGUGUAGCGGUGAAAUGCGCAGAUAUCAGGAGGAACACCGGUGGCGAAGGCGGUGCUCUGGGCCAGUACUGACGCUGAGGAGCGAAAGCGUGGGGAGCGAACAGG
rnacentral:rRNA from 1 species